rnacentral:rRNA from 1 species
AGGGAGGUUUGAUCAUGGGCUCAGGACGAACGUUGGCGGUGCGCUUAAUGCAUGCAAGUCGAGGGAGAAGCAGUUGUUCCGUAAGGUUCGACUGUGGAAACCGGCGAACGGGUGCGUAACACGUGAGAAACCUGCCCCCCAGACCGGGAUAGCCCAGGGAAACUUGGAUUAAUACCGGAUAUUCUCUUUGGAUCGCAUGAUCCUUUGAGGAAAUGGUCCGCUGCUGGGGGAUGGUCUCGCGGCCUAUCAGGUAGUUGGUGAGGUAAUGGCUCACCAAGCCUAAGACGGGUAGCUGGUCUGAGAGGACGAUCAGCCACACUGGAACUGAGACACGGUCCAGACUCCUACGGGAGGCAGCAGCAGGGAAUAUUGCACAAUGGGCGAAAGCCUGAUGCAGCGACACCGCGUGCGGGAUGACGGCCUUAGGGUUGUAAACCGCUUUCGGGAGGGAAGAAAAUGACGGUACCUCCUAAAGAAGCUCCGGCCAACUACGUGCCAGCAGCCGCGGUAAUACGUAGGGAGCAAACGUUGUCCGGAUUUAUUGGGCGUAAAGGGCUCGUAGGCGGUUCAACAAGUCGGUCGUGAAAGCCCGGGGCUCAACCCCGGGAUGCCGGUCGAAACUGUUGUGACUAGAGUUCGGUAGAGGUGAGUGGAAUUCUCGGUGUAGCGGUGGAAUGCGCAGAUAUCGAGAGGAACACCAUUAGCGAAGGCGGCUCACUGGGCCGAUACUGACGCUGAGGAGCGAAAGCGUGGGGAGCAAACAGGA